rnacentral:rRNA from 1 species
AUGCCGACUGGCACGUACUCCUCCAAGUCGUGCUACCUUGCCCUAUUCUCUGGAUCGACUAUCGAGCCUAUAUGGCAUCUGACUUGGAGAUCAUGGGCGCCGCUAUGUGUCAAGAUCUUCUUAUGGCUCGCCUACCAGGGGCGAUGCUGGACGACGGAUAGACUGACACGCCAUGGUUUGUCGGACGCCCCCCUUCGUCUCCUGUGUGACCAAGAAUCAAAGACCAGGCAACAUCUACUAGCGGGCUGCUCCUUCACCAGACAAGUUUGGCAUGAGAUCAUGUCGUGGUGCCGAUCCACCACCAACCUACCGUCUCCAGAAUCGGAAUUCCACGAUUGGUUCACCGCAUCCAUUCGUGAUUCCCCGACGGCCUUAUGUCGAGGCCUCACAACUCUCUUCAUCCUCACGGCUUGGAGGCUCCGGAAACACCGCAACGGAUCCGUGUUCAAUAACGACCGACCUUCAAUUUUGUGACUCGUCGAGCUGAUCAAGGAAGAUGCUACAGCAUGGGCUCGCGCUGGGGCUAGGGGAUUUGGCCACCUCAUCGGCGAAAGAUAG